rnacentral:rRNA from 1 species
GACGAACGCUGGCGGCGUGCUUAACACAUGCAAGUCGAACGGAAAGGCCCUGCUUUUGUGGGGUGCUCGAGUGGCGAACGGGUGAGUAACACGUGAGUAACCUGCCCUUGACUUUGGGAUAACUUCAGGAAACUGGGGCUAAUACCGGAUAGGAGCUCCUGCUGCAUGGUGGGGGUUGGAAAGUUUCGGCGGUUGGGGAUGGACUCGCGGCUUAUCAGCUUGUUGGUGGGGUAGUGGCUUACCAAGGCUUUGACGGGUAGCCGGCCUGAGAGGGUGACCGGGAACAGUGGGACGGAGAGAGGGCGGAGGGUGCUAGGGGGGGGAGCAGGGGGGAAUGUUGUACAGGGGGCUGAAGUGGGACGCCGCGACGCCGGGUGCGGGAUGGCGGGGGGGGGGUAGUAAAAAGGGGGCGCGUGUGAAGAAGGGGGAGGGACGGGAAUGGGUAAAGAAGCAAAGGCUAACGAGGUG